CGGACGGGUGAGUAACGCGUGGAAACUACGCGUACGUACUCGGGGGAUAACACUUAGAAAUAGGUGCUAAUACCGCAUAAGCGCACAGCUUCGCAUGAAGCGGUGUGAAAAACUCUGGUGGUAUACGAUGGUUCCGCGUCUGAUUAGCUAGUUGGUGGGGUAAUGGCCUACCAAGGCAACGAUCAGUAGCCGGCCUGAGAGGGUGAACGGCCACAUUGGGACUGAGACACGGCCCAAACUCCUACGGAAGGCAGCAG
rnacentral:rRNA from 1 species